GGUUGGGUUUUGGUGGUGUUUGUUCCAGAAGUGGAGUAUGCAGCUGAAAAUAUAGAAAGAUGUUUCUGAGUUAGGGGAAGCCAGAAACAGGAGCUAAACCUGACUGUGAGCUCACAUUAUUGUUUAAGGCAUGGGAAAACUGCAAGAAGCAGAAUCAUUGCCUCCCAAACACAGUAAUUGUGGAGACCAGACAUCCCUUUAACAAACAAUAGCACCAUCUUUAAGUUGGCAUCUCUAGAUGAAUGGUGGAACCAGGAGAAAAAGGUUGUUCUCCUUGUGAAUACAGUUGUCUUGUGUGAGGCAGUCUUUCUCAAAGGCGGUUUGAUGCUUGCUGGCCCCUUGGAAACUACCUUCACCUUGAAAGUAUCAUGCUGAUGUAAUGGUCUGCUUUUGGCAAUCCUGCCAGCAACCCUGUGGAGUCUUUCAGUUGGAGCUGUGGAUAGGCAGUUUUCCAUUCUCUGUGACUGGAAG